GUACUGUCUCUUAGUCCUGCUGCACCUGCACGUGGCUAUAACUGCGCAUGGCUAUACCUGUGCAUGGUGCCAGGGUCAGGCUGCAGGGCCAGAGCACGUGCUUGGGCAUAACUGGGGCCUAAUGCUCCCCGUCUCACCCCCUUUAACCCUUAGCCACAUGG